AAAAAUUUAGUUAAUAUAACAUCAGAUUGUCAAACUGAAAUAAUUCUUAAAAAUAAUUUUUU
rnacentral:tRNA from 1 species